CUUGGUCAUUUAGAGGAAGUAAAAGUCGUAACAAGGUUUCCGUAGGUGAACCUGCGGAAGGAUCAUUACAGUGUUCCUGCCCUCACGGGUAGAAACCCCACCCUUGUGUAUUAUAUCUUUGUUGCUUUGGCAGGCCGCCUUCGGGCACCGGCUCACGCUGGAUCGUGCCUGCCAGAGGACCCCAAAUUCUGAAUGUUAGUGUCGUCUGAGUACUAUAUAAUAGUUAAAACUUUCAACAACGGAUUUCUUGGUUCUGGCAUCGAUGAAGAACGCAGUGAAAUGCGAUAAGUAAUGUGAAUUGCAGAAUUCAGUGAAUCAUCGAAUCUUUGAACGCACAUUGCGCCCCUUGGUAUUCCGAGGGGCAUGCCUGUUCGAGCGUCAUUUCAACCCUCAAGCACAGCUUGGUCUUGGGCUUCGUCGCUAACCCGGCGGGUCUUAAAAUCAGUGGCGGUGCCGUCGGGCCCUGAGCGCAGUAAUCUCUCUCGCUAUAGGGUCCCGGCGGAUGCUGGCCAGUAACCCCCAAUUUUCUAUGGUUGACCUCGGGUCAGGUAGGGAUACCCGCUGAACUUAAGCAUAUCAAUAAGCGGAGGA
rnacentral:rRNA from 1 species